rnacentral:rRNA from 1 species
AUUGAACGCUGGCAGCAUGCUUUACACAUGCAAGUCGAACGGCAGCGCGGGCUUCGGCCUGGCGGCGAGUGGCGAACGGGUGAGUAAUACAUCGGAACGUGCCCAGUAGUGGGGGAUAGCUCGGCGAAAGCCGGAUUAAUACCGCAUACGACCUGAGGGUGAAAGCGGGGGAUCUUCGGACCUCGCGCUAUUGGAGCGGCCGGUGGCAGAUUAGCUAGUUGGUGGGGUAAAGGCCUACCAAGGCGACGAUCUGUAGCUGGUCUGAGAGGACGACCAGCCACACUGGGACUGAGACACGGCCCAGACUCCUACGGGAGGCAGCAGUGGGGAAUUUUGGACAAUGGGCGAAAGCCUGAUCCAGCAAUGCCGCGUGUGUGAUGAAGGCCUUCGGGUUGUAAAGCACUUUUGGCGGGAACGAAAAGGACUGUGCCAAUACCACGGUUCGAUGACGGUACCCGCAGAAUAAGCACCGGCUAACUACGUG